UACUAUAACCAGCUUUUCGUAUAAUUCCGGGGAUUGGCCCGGUUGUUUCUACGAGGUCACCGUAAUGAUCUGGCUACGAAAGAUUG
rnacentral:ncRNA from 1 species